rnacentral:lncRNA from 1 species
GUGUGGUGUGAGCAGAAGGUUGAAGAAAACAUCUCUCAAUAGAAGAAAAGAGAAGAUAGAGAACAGUUGCAAUGUUGGGUCCCUCUGGCCACCUUGUGGUGGGACUGGGCUUAGGCCAGGAUUAGAGGGAGGAAUCCUCACCUCCUGCAGCGUUCUGUGAUGGUUUCACAAAUGUGGAGUGGGUCUGGCUCUGCUUAGCUUGUCCUGACCACUAAAACUAGAACCCAGGUCAUGAACAUCUGCCUCUGAAAAGCACUUGGCAUUGGGCACAAGCAGGAAGGAUAAUAUCUCAAGGCAGCGCAUAGCUCCUUCUGUGCUGCUGCUGCUCCAGCACGGCUGUUUCUUUCUUUCUCCUGAGGUGCUGUGACUGACAGGGAUGUGCUGUUGCUGACAACAGCAACCAGUUAGCUGCAGGGACUCUUCUUUAAUGAACAGCUUGCCACAGAUGCAGCCAUCAGUUAGAUUGCUAGAGGCCACAUAUUUGUGUUCAGGGAGAGUAAUAAAGUAGGUUUUAUUUGACUUGUAUAAAUCUACUUUAAUGGGCUUUCUUGCUACCACUUACUUUCAUUACCAUUUAAAUUAGCUGUCCUAGAGCUGUUAAUUGUCUUUGCAGGUGGAUAUGGUCAUAUAAUGUACUUUCUUUUUUACUGCUCUUUAUGUUUUAUACUGACACGUGUUCAUAAAUAAUCGUCAUAUUUUUUGAAGAGUCCAAGACUGUGUGUGAGGAACUGACCAGCUGCUGCUUCACCAACCUGUUCCCAUGUGUCUGGCAGAUGAGGGAGCAGAGGAGGAGGAGGGUGCACAGAGAGAGGGAGGAACCUCUUACCGGAUGCUUUGUGUUCAACCUUGUGCUCGUGGCAGUGAGGCAGCAGGCUGGUGAAGUUGGAAGGCAGCUGAAUUGUGGCUUCCAGGCAGCUGAGAACAAGUCAGUCAGAAAACCUUCCUGUAGGAAGUAGGAAAAAAAAAAUCAAGACCUUUUGUUAUUAAAUCAACAAGUUACUGCAACAAGAUGGCAAACAAAUGGCAUCUGUGCUACACAGCAGUACUACACAGGCCAGGUGAGAACCUGCACAGUUGCAGCCAAGCACUACUUGAAUCCUCACUGAAAUCAUGGCCACCUGAGAAGUGUGACUGCUGGCUUGCUGGCAAAUGGGCAAUGGCUCCAUGAAGAUUACAGCUGCUCUGAGCUGAGCAGCACUGCUCCGAGCUGAGCAGCACUGCUCCACCAGGGUAAGUGACAUAUAGACUCACCUGAAACAUGGGCCUGGCAGACUGGUGGAAAAUGUCAGGGAAGAGCAGAGCAGGCACACAGGAGUGCUUGCCUGGGGUUUCAGCAGCAACUGGGGUGAUGCUUCCCCUGCUAGGUUACCAUGUUCUGAACCCACAGAACAUGAUCUUCUUUUCUUUUAAACCUUUUGCUUGCAAGAACCUACACUGAACAGUUUAGUUUACUGUGUACAGCCCUACACUGUGUGCUGGGACUUCCUCCUAGGGAUACUCCCUGUAUAGAUGCUCCAUGCACCCAAGCUGCAGGCUUAUGCAUGCUUCUUAGAGUUCUCUAGUCUUCAAUGCAGUUGCCUGCAUCCUGCCCCUAGGAGCCCACCAGUUUGAUGUCCAAGCUGAGCUCCUUACUGGGCCGUGAGAGAGCCCGGAUCUCUACAGGAUGAUUCUGCUAUCCCCAGUUGUGUGUCCUGUGGCUUAGCUUCAGGGCCUGAUGGCCUGAGUUGCACUGG